GAUGAACGCUGGCGGCGUGCCUAACACAUGCAAGUCGAACGAAGCAUACAGGACGGAGUAUUUCGGUAUGAAGUCCUGUCUGACUGAGUGGCGGACGGGUGAGUAACGCGUGGGUAACCUGCCUCAUACAGGGGGAUAACAGUUAGAAAUGACUGCUAAUACCGCAUAAGCGCCCGGAACCGCAUGGUUCUGAGUGAAAAACUCCGGUGGUAUGAGAUGGACCCGCGUCUGAUUAGCUAGUUGGCGGGGUAACGGCCCACCAAGGCAGCGAUCAGUAGCCGGCCUGAGAGGGUGGACGGCCACAUUGGGACUGAGACACGGCCCAA
rnacentral:rRNA from 1 species